rnacentral:rRNA from 1 species
UACGGAGGGUGCAAGCGUUAAUCGGAAUUACUGGGCGUAAAGCGUGCGCAGGCGGUUUGUUAAGUCUGCUGUGAAAUCCCCGAGCUCAACUUGGGAAUUGCAGUGGAUACUGGCAAGCUGGAGUACGGUAGAGGAAGGUGGAAUUCCCGGUGUAGCAGUGAAAUGCGUAGAGAUCGGGAGGAACACCUGUGGCGAAAGCGGCGCACUGGACCAUAACUGACGCUGAGGCGCGAAAGCUAGGGGAGCAAAUAGG